rnacentral:rRNA from 1 species
GACGAACGCUGGCGGCGUGCUUAACACAUGCAAGUCGAACGAAGUGGCGAACGGGUGAGUAACGCGUAAUCAACCUGCCCUUCAGAGGGGGACAACAGUUGGAAACGACUGCUAAUACCGCAUACUGAAGGAGGGGAUUGCGUCGGAUGAGCUAGUUGGAGGGGUAACGGCCCACAAAGGCGAUGAUCAGUAGCCGGGCUGGAGAGAUGAACGGCCAAAUUGGGACUGGGACACGGCCCAGACUCCUACGGGAGGCAACAAGGGGGAAUCUUCCGCAAUGGACGAAAGUCUGACGGAGCAACGCCGCGGGAUGGAUGAUGGCCUUCGGGUUGUAAAGCUCUGUUAAUCGGGACGCGGUACCGGAAUAGAAAGCCACGGCUAACUACGUGCCAGCAGCCGCGGUAAUUC